rnacentral:rRNA from 1 species
ACGGGGGGAGCAAGCGUUGUUCGGAUUUACUGGGCGUAAAGGGCGUCUAGGCGGGUUCGUAAGUCAUGUGUGAAACCCCCCGGCUCAACCGGGGAUCUGCACGUGAUACUGCGGAUCUUGAGUAUGGAAGAGGAAAGCGGAAUUCCAGGUGGGGCGGUGUCUUGCCUAGAUAAGGGGCAGAAGCGAGGGGGCGGAGGGCGCACACCGGACUAUUCCCCACGCUAUUGCGGGAAACUGUGGGGACCAAACAG